UUGUAACGCGAUGCCGCGGUGUCUUGGAACAACGUUCGAUGAAAACGACAACUGAUCCCGUAGGCGGACGUUUUUCGUCGGUGACCGUCCGUGCACUGAACGCAGCGGAUGAACUUGUUGUGAAUCCAUCACUUUUCUGUUUCUUUUUCCUCGAACGAGUCUGAAAUCGCUGGGGUGAUAACCAGUUGCCAGUAGGAGCUGAUAAGCAGUUGGGAUUGCUCGCCUAAAGACUGGCCUAUCGGCCAGAGUGCUGGAUGGAGAUAUCGUGGAGCGAGGCGGUUAACUCCGCCGCUGCUGGAUCAUCGACGGUUAUAGUGAGUUUUUCGAGUGAAGCCGAUGCGCCGGAACCGUCGCGGGCCCCGAGAGUCAUCAAGGUCACCUUGAUACCGACCACGGAAUGCGGUUCAAUUUUCACCGUCACGACGCGUUGUUACAUCUGUCGGACAUGAAGCGGACGUCGAUGACCCGUUGUGUGGCGUGACCCCCCACCGUAACCAUAAAUACUAUCAUGUUUAUGUAGUUCGGCGGACGGAGGCAGAUCGUCAACGAAACCGGCCUCUAACCAGGCCCCAAGGUCGCCCAGCGGUCGACGCACCAAACAUUAGAAGAUCUCGCUCGGUCGAGUUGGUUUUUUGUCGCGACAUUUUUAUGCAUCCGCGCCGUUCUUAUAGUCGCGCGACAAUGAGUUGCGGUUGUCGAUCCGCCGCUGUGAAAUCUGCACGGUUAUUUUCAAAGUCAGUCAGGAGAUACCACUUUAUCGUAAUAAAUCGUGUCCAGUAGAUUAAGUGUGCGAUCAGAGUGUUCUUUUUUCAAUUCAGGCAAAGGUGAAGUACGUAGUUUACUUCAGUUAACAUGCUUUCCAUUUUUGUUGCACGGCUAAUCUAUAUCUUAUCGGGGGAUGAGGAAACUCUGUGACCAGUGUACUUCCAUUUGGUGGCGGCUGUUUACAAGCAUAUUCCAGGGAGAAUUGAUUUUGACGGAAUCUUGAAAAUAAAAUUCUAAGUUGAAAGUUUAA